UCAGGCCUAACACAUGCAAGUCGAGCGGUAACAGAUCUAGCUUGCUAGAUGCUGACGAGCGGCGGACGGGUGAGUAACGCGUAGGAAUCUACCCAGUAGCGGGGGAUAAGCCAGAGAAAUUUGGUCUAAUACCGCAUACGCCCUUCGGGGGAAAGCAGGGGAUCUUCGGACCUUGCACUAUUGGAUGAGCCUGCGUGAGAUUAGCUUGUUGGUGAGGUAAAGGCUCACCAAGGCGACGAUCUCUAGCUGGUCUGAGAGGAUGAUCAGCCACACUGGAACUGAGACACGGUCCAGACUCCUACGGGAGGCAGCAGUGGGGAAUAUUGCACAAUGGGCGCAAGCCUGAUGCAGCCAUGCCGCGUGUGUGAAGAAGGCCCUAGGGUUGUAAAGCACUUUCAGCAGUGAGGAAAGGUGUGUGGUUAAUACCCGCAUACUGUGACGUUAACUGCAGAAGAAGCACCGGCUAA
rnacentral:rRNA from 1 species